rnacentral:rRNA from 1 species
UACGUAGGUGGCAAGCGUUGUCCGGAUUUACUGGGCGUAAAGGGUGUGCAGGCGGGGAAGCAAGUGGGGUAUGAAAUCUCCCAGCUUAACUGGGAUAGGUUAUGCCAUACUGCUUUUCUAGAGGACGAGAGAGGGGGGUGGAAUUCCGGGUGUAGUGGUGAAAUGCGUAGAGAUCCGGAGGAACCCCAGAGGCGAAGGCGGCCCCCUGGCUCGUACCUGACGCUCAGCCACGAAAGCAUGGGGAGCGAACGGG